AUUGAACGCUGGCGGCAUGCUUUACACAUGCAAGUCGAACGGUAACAGGUUAAGCUGACGAGUGGCGAACGGGUGAGUAAUGCAUCGGAACGUGCCCAAUCGUGGGGGAUAACACUUCGAAAGAAGUGCUAAUACCGCAUACGAUCUGAGGAUGAAAGCGGGGGACCGUAAGGCCUCGCGCGAUCGGAGCGGCCGAUGUCAGAUUAGGUAGUUGGUGGGGUAAAGGCUCACCAAGCCGACGAUCUGUAGCUGGUCUGAGAGGACGACCAGCCACACUGGGACUGAGACACGGCCCAGACUCCUACGGGAGGCAGCAGUGGGGAAUUUUGGACAAUGGGCGCAAGCCUGAUCCAGCAAUGCCGCGUGCAGGAAGAAGGCCUUCGGGUUGUAAACUGCUUUUGUACGGAGCGAAAAGGCUCCCGCUAAUACAGGGGGCUCAUGACGGUACCGUAAGAAUAAGCACCGGCUAACUACGUGCCAGCCGCCGCGGUAA
rnacentral:rRNA from 1 species